AUUGAACGCUGGCGGCAGGCCUAACACAUGCAAGUCGCACGAGUGGCGGACGGGUGAGUAAUGUCUGGGAAACUGCCCGAUGGAGGGGGAUAAAUACUGGAAACGGUAGCUAAUACCCCAUACCAUCGGAUGUGCCCAGAUGGGAUUAGCUUGUAGGUGAGGUAACGGCUCACCUGGGCGACGAUCCCUCGCUGGGCUGAGAGGAUGACCAGCCAAACUGGAACUGAGACCCGGUCCAGACUCCUACGGGAGGCAGCAGUGGUGAAUAUUGCACAAUGGGCGAAAGCCUGAUCCAGCCAUGCCGCGUGUGUGAAGAAGGUCUUCGGAUUGUAAAGCACUUUAAGUUGGGAGGCGUUACCAACAGAAUAAGCACCGGCUAACUUCGUGCCAGCAGCCGCGGUAAUAC
rnacentral:rRNA from 1 species